rnacentral:rRNA from 1 species
AACGAACGCUGGCGGCAUGCCUAACACAUGCAAGUCGAACGAGACCUUCGGGUCUAGUGGCGCACGGGUGCGUAACGCGUGGGAACCUGCCCUUAGGUUCGGAAUAACUUCCCGAAAGGGGUGCUAAUACCGGAUAAUGUCUUCGGACCAAAGAUUUAUCGCCUUUGGAUGGGCCCGCGUUGGAUUAGCUAGUUGGUAGGGUAAAAGCCUACCAAGGCGACGAUCCAUAGCUGGUCUGAGAGGAUGAUCAGCCACACUGGGACUGAGACACGGCCCAGACUCCUACGGGAGGCAGCAGUGGGGAAUAUUGACAAUGGGCGAAAGCCUGAUCCAGCAAUGCCGCGUGAGUGAUGAAGGCCUUAGGGUUGUAAAGCUCUUUUACCCGGGAUGAUAAUGACAGUACCGGGAGAAUAAGCUCCGGCUAACUCCGUG